AUCUGGAACGAUCGGCCAUAGACGGUGAUAGCCCGGUAAACGAAACGACGAGAGGCUCUCUGGGCAGACAUCCUAAGUACCACGGGACACGAGAAACCCUGUGGGAAUCCGGGAAGACCACUUCCCAAGGCUAAAUACUACUUGGCGACCGAUAGUGAACCAGUACCGUGAGGGAAAGGUGAAAAGAACCCCGGGAGGGGAGUGAAAAGAACCUGAAACCGUACGCUUACAAGCAGUGAGAGGGCUAUGGGCCGCAAGGUCAAUGCCUGAUCGCGUGCCUUUUGCAUAAUGAGCCGGCGAGUUAUUAGGUGUGGCAAGGUUAAUCUCGAUAAACGAGAGGAGCCGUAGCGAAAGCGAGUCUGAAUAGGGCGAUAUAGUCACACUUAAUAGACCCGAAGCGGAAUGAUCUACCCAUGGCCAGGGUGAAGCGGGGUUAAACCCCCGUGGAGGCCCGAACUGGUGAUUGUUGCAAAAAUCUCGGAUGAGUUGUGGGUAGGGGUGAAAGGCUAAUCAAAUUCCGUGAUAGCUGGUUCUCCCCGAAAUAGCUUGAGGACUAGCCCUGCGAAUUAACUGACGGAGGUAGAGCACUGAAUGGACUAGGGGCCUUACCCGGUUACCAAACCCAAUCAAACUCCGAAUACCGUCAAGUCUUACCGCAGGAGUCAGACUACGGGUGCUAAGAUUCGUGGUCAAAAGGGAAAGAGCCCAGACCGCCAGCUAAGGUCCCUAAAUAUAUGCUAAGUGGGAAAGGUUGUGGAGGCGCUCAGACAGCCAGGAGGUUUGCUUAGAAGCAGCAAUCCUUUAAAGAAAGCGUAAUAGCUCACUGGUCAAGUGAAUCUGCGCCGAAAAUAUAACGGGGCUAAAGCAUAUUACCGAAGCUGCGGAUUCUACCGCAAGGUUGAGUGGUAGGGGAGCAUUCUGUCGUAGGUUGAAGGCGGACCGUAAGGACCGCUGGACGAAACAGAAGAGAUUCUGCCGGCAUAAGUAGCGAUAAAACGGAUGAAAAAUCCGUUCGCCGAAAACCUAAGGUUUCCUGGGCAAUGUUAAUCAUCCCAGGGUGAGUCGGUACCUAAGACGAGGCCGAAAGGAGUAGUCGAUGGACAGCAGGUUAAUAUUCCUGCACUACUGUGGUAGCGUUAUCAGCAAUGGGGGGACGCAGGAAGGUAGAUCUACAGGCGACUGGAAAUGCCUGGCCGCAAUUCAAGGGGGAUCCCGUAGGUAAAUCCGCGGGGUCAAGGAAAGCGGGGAAGCGAGCCUUCGGGCAAGCCAACUGAUUGAUCCUACGCUGCCAAGAAAAACCUCUAGCGAGUCAUCAUAGUAACCGUACCGCAGUCCGACACAGGUAGGUAGGAGGAAAACUCUAAGGCGCUUGAGAGAACUCUGGCUAAGGAACUAGGCAAAUUAGCCCCGUAACUUCGGGAUAAGGGGCGCCUCAGUAGGGUGUUAAAGCCCGAGGAGGCCGCAGUGAAAUGGCUCUGGCGACUGUUUAUCAAAAACACAGGUGUCUGCUAAGCCGCAAGGCGAUGUAUAGGCACUGAUGCCUGCCCGGUGCCGGAAGGUUAACAGGAGGGGUCAGCCGCAAGGCGAAGCUCUGAAUCGAAGCCCCGGUAAACGGCGGCCGUAACUAUAACGGUCCUAAGGUAGCGAAAUUCCUUGUCGGGUAAGUUCCGACCUGCACGAAUGGCAUAACGGCACGAAUGGCAUAACGACUGGAGCACUGUCUCGGCCAGAGACUCAGCGAACUUGUAUCAUCGGUGAAGAUGCCGAUUACCCGCAACUAGACGGAAAGACCCUGUGAACCUUUACUAUAGCUUGGCAAUGAAUUUUGGAACCGUAUGUGUAGGAUAGGUGGGAGACUUUGAGACGGGGGCGCUAGCUCUCGUGGAGUCGCCGUUGAAAUACCACCCUUAUUUUUCUGAAAUUCUAACCUGGGCCCAUUAUCUGGGUCGGGGACAUUGCCUGGUGGGUAGUUUGACUGGGGCGGUCGCCUCCCAAAUUGUAACGGAGGCGCCCAAAGGUUCCCUCA
rnacentral:rRNA from 1 species